rnacentral:rRNA from 1 species
CCUACGGGAGGCAGCAGUGGGGAAUAUUGCACAAUGGGGGAAACCCUGAUCCAGCGAUGCCGCGUGCGUGACGACGUCUUUAGUUAUGUAAAACUCUAUCAGCAGGGAAGUAAAUGACGCUACCUGUGUAAGUAGCCACGGCUAACUCCGUGACAGCAGCCGCGGUAACACGUCGGGGGCGAGCGUUAUCCGGAUUUACUGGGUGUAAAGGGAGUGUAGUCGGUGUGCCAAGUCUGGAGUGAAAUGCCGCAGCUUAACUGCGGAACGGCUGUGGAAACUGGCGAACUAGAGUGCGGGAGGGGUAGGCGGAAUGCGUAGUGUAGCGGUGAAAUGCGUAGAUAUUAGAAAGAACACCGAUGGCGAAGGCAGCUUACUGGACCGGAACUGACGUUGAGGCUCGAAAGCGUGGGGAGCGAACAGGAUUAGAUACCCCUGUAGUC